GGGGAUGUCUGUUAUUGUAAAAAGAUUGUAUAACCUUGUAUAAUAUUGCUUUAUUUUUGUUUGUUUGGUAUUGUAGGGUCAUGUUAGUAACUUCUACUUAGCCCGAAUACGGACACCAUUCGACAGGUCUCUUCAGGGACAUUAGUCGAACAGAAAAAACACUAAAAAGGAAUAUAAGGACUCUUCUUGAUGACGGAUCUUUUAGACAGUUUCUUGAGGGAAGUAAGUCUAGAGAAAAGACAAGAAGAUUUUUUUAUUAGGUAGUGUAAUAAUUCCCCCUUGAUUUUUCUUUGGGCCAUGGUUCUUUUCCAAGGGUUAGCUUGAAUCGGGUGUAGGAAGAUUUUUGUUUAUUUUGUUUUUAGGUUUUAGUUAGUAUUGAUGGCUAUGAGCUGAAAUAGAAAGAGAAACCAUUGGCAUUAAUACACCUAAACACAGUAGACACUAGAGUGUAAUGCUUAGUCUCAGUGGUUGACUCCUGCUAAAGUGCCUUAAAUUGUAUGUUUGUAACUGACUUGAACACUCAAGAGAGAGUGUCUUGAUAAGCCAAUCUGGAGUGAGUCAUGUGCCAUGUCUGUGUGAGUUGUACCGUAUUCUAUGCUUUACAUUUGAUGCCUAGAACUUUCCCUAUGUGCUUGCAAAGUGAAAUAGUAGCUUCAUCUAGUGUUAGGAGUGAUAUAGGCAUUUAUUCAUAAAUCCAAAUAUAUAAAGUAGACACACCUAAAUGUAAUACAUCGUAGUCAACCCCGUUGAAUCUAUAAGCAUGUUUCUUCGGCAACCACAUUGCGGACAUUGUCCAAUUGUUUGAAUAACCAUCGCUUUGAACCCUUGUUACCUUCCAAGAGCACUUGAACGGCCUUGAAAUAUGCAAAAGCUAAAGUGUGGGGUGGUGGUUUGGUUUUUGAGUGGAACCAAUGAAAUAGAGGAAAAUGUGGAGUUUUUGGAAAAGCAAAAGAAGAAGCACCACUUAAAAAAGAAAAAAAAAGGAAAUAAAUGUAGUAGUUGAUAAGUGGUGGCUUGAUAGAAAUGCACCUAAAGAAAUGGGAUGUUAUAAACAAAAAUGUGGUGGAACAUCUAGUUGACAUACGUAUGAUUUUAAGGUUAAUGUGAUUGUACUAAAAAUAUUUAGGGAGG
rnacentral:lncRNA from 1 species